GACGAACGCUGGCGGCGUGCUUAACACAUGCAAGUCGAACGGAAAGGCCCUGCUUUUGUGGGUUGCUCGAGUGGCGAACGGGUGAUUAACACGUGAUUAACCUGCCCUUGACUUUGGGAUAACUUCAGGAAACUGGGGCUAAUACCGGAUAGGAGCUCCUGCUUCAUGGUGGGGUUUGGAAAGUUUCGGCGGUUGGGGAUGGACUCGCGGCUUAUCAGCUUGUUGGUGGGGUAGUGGCUUACCAAGGCUUUGACGGGUAGCCGGCCUGAGAGGGUGACCGGCCACAUUGGGACUGAGAUACGGCCCAGACUCCUACGGGAGGCAGCAGUGGGGAAUAUUGCACAAUGGGCGGAAGCCUGAUGCAGCAACGCCGCGUGCGGGAUGACGGCCUUCGGGUUGUAAACCGCUUUCGCCUGUGACGAAGCGUGAGUGACGGUAAUGGGUAAAGAAGCACCGGCUAACUACGUG
rnacentral:rRNA from 1 species